rnacentral:rRNA from 1 species
CGUGAGAUGUUGGGUUAAGUCCCGCAACGAGCGCAACCCUUGCCAUUAGUUGCUACGAAAGGCACUCUAAUGGGACUGCCGGUGACAAACCGGAGGAAGGUGGGGAUGACGUCAGGUCAUCAUGGCCCUUAUGGGUAGGGCUACACACGUCAUACAAUGGCCGGUACAGAGGGCUGCCAACCCGCGAGGGGGAGCCAAUCCCAGAAAACCGGUCGUAGUCCGGAUCGUAGUCUGCAACUCGACUGCG